UUAAUAAGCUUUUUAAGCAAUUGUUUUGAAAACAAUAGAAAGAAAUAAUUUUAUUCUAU
rnacentral:tRNA from 1 species